rnacentral:rRNA from 1 species
GACAGAGGGUGCAAACGUUGUUCGGAAUUACUGGGCGUAAAGCGAGUGUAGGCGGUUUGGUAAGUCGGAUGUGAAAGCCCCGGGCUCAACCCGGGGAGUGCACUCGAUACUACCAGGCUAGAGUAUCGGAGAGGUUGGUGGAAUUCUCGGUGUAGAGGUGAAAUUCGUAGAUAUCGAGAGGAACACCGGUGGCGAAGGCGGCCAACUGGACGAAUACUGACGCUGAGACUCGAAAGCGUGGGGAGCAAACAGG